GACGGAGGGUGCAAGCGUUGUUCGGAAUUACUGGGCGUAAAGGGCGCGUAGGCGGUCUGUUAAGUUCGGUGUGAAAGCCCCCGGCUCACCUGGGGAACUGCGCCGGAAACCGACAGACUCGAGUACCGGAGAGGAGACUGGAAUUCCUGGUGUAGCAGUGAAAUGCGUAGAUAUCAGGAGGAAUACCGAUGGCGAAGGCAGGUCUCUGGGCUGACACUGACGCUCAUGCACGAAAGCGUGGGGAGCAAACAGG
rnacentral:rRNA from 1 species